GGAGGGGGCCAGCGUUGUUCGGAAUUAUUGGGCGUAAAGGGCGCGUAGGCGGCCUGGUAAGUCGGGCGUGAAAUCCCGCGGCUCAACCGCGGAACUGCGUUCGAAACUGCCGGGCUUGAGUCCCGGAGAGGGUGGCGGAAUUCCCAGUGUAGCGGUGAAAUGCGUAGAUAUUGGGAGGAACACCAGUGGCGGGGGCGGUCACCUGGACGGGUACUGACGCUGAGGCGCGAAAGCGUGGGGAGCAAACAGGAUUAGAUACCCUGGUAGUCCACGCUGUAAACGUUGGGCACUUGGUGUUGCGGGUAUCGACCCCCUGCAGUGCCAAAGCUAACGCAUUAAGUGCCCCCGCCUGGGGAGUACGGUCGCAAGGCUG
rnacentral:rRNA from 1 species